rnacentral:lncRNA from 1 species
GGAGAAUUUUCCAGCUGUAUGUAUAACGAUAUUUAUAUAUAUAUAUAUAUAUUCUUGUUCUCUUAUUUUCUUAUUUCCAGAUAAAGUUUUUCAUAAGAUCUCAGUGAUCUGAACAAUCUGUAAGACAGAGAACAAAGUUGGGGCAAAUUGUACAGUAUGUGGAAAUGCGUGUGGAAAAUCUCUACAGAAAAAAUCAGCCAUUCAAGGAUUAUGUGCAUCAAUAGACAAGUUACAGUGAAAGAAGAUGAGAUUCAAGUAUUCUCAAAAACGUUCAAGGGGCUUACUUGAUCCAACUGUUAUGGUUCAACAGAUAUAGCGUCUGACUAGCAGAGGUGAGAAACAGAACUGGGAUUCGCUGUGAAGAGGGCUGAGGGAGGACCGGGGCUAACCUUUGCUCUUGUUUUGCCCCGGAUUUUCGGCUUUGCACAUGAAUGGAUACUUUUCUAUUGAGAUCUUUCAUUAGGGGGAUGAAACAAAUUAACGGGAAAAGAAUACCAGUGAAUUCACUUUGUGUGCUAUCUCCGCGAAGUUUUUUUUCUGAGAUUCCAUGGAAAAAAUAAGAAACGCGGGAGCUUGAAAUGUCUCACGCAAAACUUUCAGAAUAGGCAGGGCAUCCCGGCAUUCCUCACGCUCAGCCCCACAGUAAAACUGCAGACCAAUCUGUUAUCAGCUACCAAAGUUUCUUACCAAAGAUGCAGUGUAAAAUAAGUUACUCAAAUUCUUCUGAAGUCCAUCUGUCUUUCAGAAAAUAAAACAUUUUCUUCUUGAUUGUGUAAUAGCUGC